GAUUCUUCGGAUGAAGACUUUUGUGACUGAGCGGCGGACGGGUGAGUAACGCGUGGGUAACCUGCCUCAUACAGGGGGAUAACAGUUAGAAAUGACUGCUAAUACCGCAUAAGACCACGGUACCGCAUGGUACAGUGGUAAAAACUCCGGUGGUAUGAGAUGGACCCGCGUCUGAUUAGGUAGUUGGUGGGGUAACGGCCUACCAAGCCGACGAUCAGUAGCCGACCUGAGAGGGUGACCGGCCACAUUGGGACUGAGACACGGCCCAGACUCCUACGGGAGGCAGCAGUGGGGAAUAUUGCACAAUGGAGGAAACUCUGAUGCAGCGACGCCGCGUGAAGGAUGAAGUAUUUCGGUAUGUAAACUUCUAUCAGCAGGGAAGAAAAUGACGGUACCUGACUAAGAAGCCCCGGCUAACUACGUGCCAGCAGCCGCGGUAAUACGUAGGGGGCAAGCGUUAUCCGGAUUUACUGGGUGUAAAGGGAGCGUAGACGGCACGGCAAGCCAGAUGUGAAAGCCCGGGGCUCAACCCCGGGACUGCAUUUGGAACUGCUGAGCUAGAGUGUCGGAGAGGCAAGUGGAAUUCCUAGUGUAGCGGUGAAAUGCGUAGAUAUUAGGAGGAACACCAGUGGCGAAGG
rnacentral:rRNA from 1 species